rnacentral:rRNA from 1 species
AGCGAACGUUAGCGGCGCGCCUAACACAUGCAAGUCGCACGAGAAAGGGGGCAACCCCCGGUACAGUGGCGCACGGGUGAGUAACACGUGGGUGAUCUGCCCAGAAGAAGGGGAUAACCUCUCGAAAGGGGGGCUAAUACCGCAUAGGACCACCGGGGCUUUGGCUCUGUGGUGAAAGGGGGCCUCUGUUUACAAGCUCCUGCUUCUGGAUGAGCCCGCGUCCCAUCAGCUAGUUGGUAGGGUAAUGGCCUACCAAGGCUACGACGGGUAGCUGGUCUAAGAGGAUGGCCAGCCACACUGGAACUGAGACACGGUCCAGACUCCUACGGGAGGCAGCAGUGGGGAAUCUUGCGCAAUGGGCGAAAGCCUGACGCAGCGACGCCGCGUGGGUGACGAAGGCCUCGGUU